rnacentral:rRNA from 1 species
UACGUAGGGUGCAAGCGUUGUCCGGAAUUAUUGGGCGUAAAGAGCUCGUAGGCGGUUCGUCACGUCGGCUGUGAAAUCCCGAGGCUCAACCUCGGGUCUGCAGUCGAUACGGGCGGACUGGAGUACUGCAGGGGAGACUGGAAUUCCUGGUGUAGCGGUGAAAUGCGCAGAUAUCAGGAGGAACACCGGUGGCGAAGGCGGGUCUCUGGGCAGUAACUGACGCUGAGGAGCGAAAGCG